rnacentral:rRNA from 1 species
UACGUAGGUGGCAAGCGUUGUCCGGAUUUACUGGGCGUAAAGAGCGCGCAGGCGGUCAUUCAAGUCGAGUGUGAAAGCCCCCGGCUCAACUGGGGAGGGUCACUCGAUACUGUUUGACUCGAAGGCGGGAGAGGGAAGUGGAAUUCCCGGUGUAGUGGUGAAAUGCGUAGAUAUCGGGAGGAACACCAGUGGCGAAGGCGACUUCCUGGCCCGUUCUUGACGCUGAGGCGCGAAAGCUAGGGGAGCAAACGGGG